CCUACGGGUGGCAGCAGUGAGGAAUAUUGGUCAAUGGGCUUACGCCUGAACCAGCCAAGUCGCGUGAGGGAAGACUGCCCUAUGGGUUGUAAACCUCUUUUGUCAGGGAGCAAUUGGCGCUAUGUGUAGCGUUAUCGAGAGUAACUGCAGAAACAGCAUCGGCUAACUCCGUGCCAGCAGCCGCGGUAAUACGGAGGAUGCGAGCGUUAUCCGGAUUUAUUGGGUUUAAAGGGUGCGUAGGCGGAAUGCCAAGUCAGCGGUAAAAUCGCGGGGCUAAACAUAGAUCCGCCGUUGAAACUGGCGUUCUUGAGUAGGCGAGAGGUAGGCGGAAUGCGUGGUGUAGCGGUGAAAUGCAUAGAUAUCACGAAGAACACCGAUUGCGAAGGCAGCAUGCCGGAGCCCAACUGACGCUGAAGCACGAAAGCGUGGGUAUCGAACAGGAUUAGAUACCCCAGUAGUC
rnacentral:rRNA from 1 species